GACGAACGCUGGCGGCGUGCUUAACACAUGCAAGUCGAACGGAAAGGCCCUGCUUUUGUGGGGUGCUCGAGUGGCGAACGGGUGAGUAACACGUGAGUAACCUGCCCUUGACUUUGGGAUAACUUCAGGAAACUGGGGCUAAUACCGGAUAGGAGCUCCUGCUGCAUGGUGGGGGUUGGAAAGUUUCGGCGGUUGGGGAUGGACUCGCGGCUUAUCAGCUUGUUGGUGGGGUAGUGGCUUACCAAGGCUUUGACGGGUAGCCGGCCUGAGAGGGUGACCGGCCACCAUGGGACUGGGAUACGGGCCAGACUCCUACGGGAGGCAGCAGUGGGGAAUAUUGCACAAUGGGCGGAAGCCUGAUGCAGCAACGCCGCGUGCGGGAUGACGGCCUUCGGGUUGUAAACCGCUUUCGCCUGUGACGAAGCGUGAGUGACGGUAAUGGGUAAAGAAGCACCGGCUAACUACGUG
rnacentral:rRNA from 1 species